CAGUGGAGGUACAUAUCAUGAUAAAAUUCAAGAUAUAAGUAUAAAUUGAUCUACAUGAACCUAUCAACUUCUCAAAAUAUUUCCCGUUGUUGAAACGGUGAUUCUCUACUGCUUCAAUAUGAAAAACCUAUUUGUUUUUACUUUUUCAAUAAUUUGUGCAGUACUAGGAUUCACAAGUGCGGUCCAUAUCGAAUUACCAGAUGUAAAAAUCAAAGACAGCCAUGUGCCGAACAGUAAUUACGAACUUCAUGCAGUAAUAAACUAUUUGGAGGCUUGGGCCCUUUAUCCUGAUCCUGAAGCAACCUUACGCCGUGUCGAAACUUUUUCCAAUCUUUAUCAAUUGAGGCAUCCUGUUAAUGGUGGAUGGAGUGUUGCUGAAGGUUGUUCUAAUAUCUACACACCGGGUGGUGCCUAUAAUUAUGUAACUUUGGACGUAGAUUACAGAGAUAUAAAUGGUACUGUUGUUAUAUUUUGUAUUGCUGAAUAACAAUGAAUGUUUUAAUAAACGAGUCUAAUUGAAUAUCUCAAAA